UCUGACCUGCUCACUGAAUUGAUUUAAGAGCCGCGGUAUUUUGACCGUGCAAAGGUAGCAUAAUCAUUAGUUUCUUAAUUAGGGGCUUGUAUGAAUGGUUUGACGAGAAAUUAACUGUCUCUUAAUAAGUUUUAGAAUUUAACUUUUAAGUUAAAAGGCUUAAAUUUUCCUUUAGGACGAGAAGACCCUAUAGAGCUUAACAUUUUUAAAAUUUAUAUUAUUUUAGUUUAUUUUUAAGUAUAAAUUUUUAAAUGUUUAGUUGGGGUGACUUGAAGAAUAAUUAAACUCUUCAUGAUUAAAUCAUUGAUUUAUGUUUAUUUGAUCCAUAAUUUAUGAUCAUAAGAUAAAGUUACCUUAGGGAUAACAGCGUAAUCAUUUUUGAGAGUUCAUAUCGACAAAAUGGGUUGCGACCUCGAUGUUGGAUUAAGAUUAAUUUUAGGUGUAGUAGCUUAAUAA
rnacentral:rRNA from 1 species